rnacentral:lncRNA from 1 species
GGACUUGGAGAGAAGGGAGGAUUAGUGACCUUCCAGAGCCCCAUUUGGGAGAGCAGUUGGGGCUGAAGCUGGAUCUCAGGAGUGGGUGUGAGGCUGGUGUCUGGCGGGCCCAGGGGAGCCAAGGGUGUGGGCAUCUUUGGAAAGUUCCAUCCCUCACAUGGGCAGCUUUCCUGCUGAUACCCAGGGCUCCGGAUCAAUGCUGUCCUCAGAGCCCUGGUUCCUGGCGACUGUGAGCAGAGUCUCCCAGCCCCUGGGGAGCACAGUCUCUGGUGCAGGUCCACGGUGGCCCACAUCUUACUAAGCCUUGGGAAGUCCAGGGACCUGCUUCCUCAUGUACGACCUCUGCUCCUUUGGUCUCACCUCUCUGGCCUUUCUCAUUCCUCACUGCACACACAUGUCCUGAAGACCUGCAGGAGGCCUGCACUGCACAGCCGGGGUCACCCAGGGCCCAGGGUGCAGAUCUCAUGCUGAUGAGGGGAGAAAGGAGAGCAUGCCCCACCUCAGUAGGUGGGAUGAGCUGGACUGAUAAGGUGAGAACUUUCUCUUUUGUAUUACUACUGGGUUCUCAAGCAACCAGGACUUUUUCAGUUGGUAUUAUCUUGCCUUUGAGCUCAGAAUCACAGACCACUGAGGCCUCAGCUGUGACCUGAGGCCCAAAGGAGUUAUGUUUCCAAAUGUCAUAGCCUGCUCUCGGGCAAGGCAACGUUGGGCCUUAGACAGCUAGUCAUACUUUACUUAUGAGAUGAUUUCCCCCCAAAUCUGUGUAGAAAUGCUCCCAACAACCCAGAGUCCUUGGGCUGCUCCUUCAGGGGGUGAACAUUAGCUAUGGAAUUCAAAGACUUCACCA